rnacentral:rRNA from 1 species
CGGAGGGUGCAAGCGUUAUCCGGAUUUACUGGAUUUAAAGGGUGCGCAGGCGGAUAUGUAAGUCAGUGGUGAAAUCUCCGGGCUUAACCCGGAAACUGCCGUUGAUACUAUAUAUCUUGAAUGCUGUGGAGGUAAGCAGAAUAUGUCAUGUAGCGGUGAAAUGCUUAGAGAUGACAUAGAAUACCUAUUGCGAAGGCAGCUUACUACGCAGAUAUUGACGCUCAUGCACGAAAGCGUGGGGAUCAAACAGGAUUAGAUACCCUGGUAGUCCACGCCCUAAACGAUGAUUACUCGACAUACGCGAUAUACAGUGUGUGUCUGAGCGAAAGCAUUAAGUAAUCCACCUGGGAAGUACGAUCGCAAGAUUG